ensembl:lncRNA
CGGCACUGUCAGGGCUCUCUGAGCCUGUCAGCCCAUGAUUGAUUGACAAUGACAAACAUAGACCAAUAAUAUGUGUCGAGGCUGGCCACACACUGCUAGCCCCAAUUUAGAGAGAGAGUAAAAGACAAAACAUAGCGGACCGGACCGGCCCACAUUGGGUCAACGGCCCGCCGGGACGAUGCCCUGUAUGCCAGAUGGCCAGUCCACCCCUGCUCGGGGGGCAGAGGAGGUAGAGGAGGACGGGGCUCCAGAGACUUCACUGUCAGGGGCAGGAGAUGAUGAGGAGCUUGAGGAGGCAGCAGCAGGGCCAUCGCACAAUACAGUGGCCUCAUCAGAGAGGUCAUUCUCUGCACU